AACGCACAUUGCGCCCUUCGGUAUUCCGUUGGGCAUGCCUGUUCGAGCGUCAUUUAAACCUUCAAGCUCUGCUUGGUGUUGGGCGUUUGUUCCGCCUCUGCGCGUGGACUCGCCUCAAAUUCAUUGGCAGCCGGUUAGUUGGCUUUCGUGCGCAGCACAUUGCGUAGCGGCUCCAGCUUACCUCCUACCACUAAGCUAGUCUAUAUUUUUUGACCUCGGAUCAGGUAGGGAUACCCGCUGAACUUAA
rnacentral:misc_RNA from 1 species